UACGGGGGGGGCAAGCGUUUGUUCGGAAUUACUGGGCGUAAAGGGCUCGUAGGCGGCCAACUAAGUCGGAUGUGAAAUCCCCAGGCUUAACCUGGGAACUGCAUCCGAUACUGGAUGGCUUGAAUUCGGGAGAGGGAUGCAGAAUUCCAGGUGUAGCGGUGAAAUGCGUAGAUAUCUGGAGGAAUACCGGUGGCGAAGGCGGCAUCCUGGACCGAGAUUGACGCUGAUGAGCGAAAGCUAGGGGGAGCAAACGGG
rnacentral:rRNA from 1 species